rnacentral:ribozyme from 15 species
UGGAGGGCCCACGCACUGAGGGCUCCACGCCCCCCAGCGCAGGGAAGAUCGGCGGGAGAUGGCUGCAUCUCCCCCAGCUGG